UAGGGAAUCUUCCACAAUGGGCGAAAGCCUGAUGGAGCAACGCCGCGUGAGUGAGGAAGGCUUUCGGGUCGUAAAGCUCUGUUGCCAGGGAAGAAUAAGGAUCAUUUAACUGAUGAUCCGAUGACGGUACCUGAGAAGAAAGCCCCGGCUAACUACGUGCCAGCAGCCGCGGUAAUACGUAGGGGGCAAGCGUUGUCCGGAAUUAUUGGGCGUAAAGCGCGCGCAGGCGGCUCUUUAAGUCUGGUGUUUAAAGUGCGGGGCUCAACCCCGUGACGCACUGGAAACUGGGGAGCUUGAGUGCAGAAGAGGAGAGCGGAAUUCCACGUGUAGCGGUGAAAUGCGUAGAGAUGUGGAGGAACACCAGUGGCGAAGGCGGCUCUCUGGACUGUAACUGACGCUGAGGCGCGAAAGCGUGGGGAGCAAACAGGAUUAGAUACCCUGGUAGUCCACGCCGUAAACGAUGAGUGCUAGGUGUUGGGGGUAUCAUGCCCUCGGUGCCGAAGUUAACACAUUAAGCACUCCGCCUGGGGAGUACGGUCGCAAGACUGAAACUCAAAGGAAUUGACGGGGUCAU
rnacentral:rRNA from 1 species